CGAGCGGUAACAGGGGGAGCUUGCUCCCCGCUGACGAGCGGCGGACGGGUGAGUAAUGCAUAGGAAACUGCCCAGUAGUGGGGGAUAGCCCGGGGAAACCCGGAUUAAUACCGCAUACGCCCUUUGGGGGAAAGCAGGGGAUCUUCGGACCUUGCGCUAUUGGAUGUGCCUAUGUCGGAUUAGCUAGUUGGUGGGGUAAGAGCCUACCAAGGCGACGAUCCGUAGCUGGUCUGAGAGCAUGAUCAGCCACAUCGGGACUGAGACACGGCCCGAACUCCUACGGGAGGCAGCAGUGGGGAAUAUUGGACAAUGGGGGCAACCCUGAUCCAGCCAUGCCGCGUGUGUGAAGAAGGCUUUCGGGUUGUAAAGCACUUUCAGUGAGGAGGAAAACCUUACGACUAAUACUCGUGAGGCUUGACGUUACUCACAGAAGAAGCACCGGCUAACUCCGUGCCAGCAGCCGCGGUAAUACGGAGGGUGCAAGCGUUAAUCGGAAUUACUGGGCGUAAAGCGCGCGUAGGUGGUUUGAUAAGCGAGAUGUGAAAGCCCCGGGCUCAACCUGGGAACGGCAUUUCGAACUGUCAGGCUAGAGUAUGGUAGAGGAGUGUGGAAUUUCCUGUGUAGCGGUGAAAUGCGUAGAUAUAGGAAGGAACACCAGUGGCGAAGGCGGCACUCUGGACCAAUACUGACACUGAGGGUGCGAAAGCGUGGGGGAGCAAACAGGAUUAGAUACCCUGGUAGUCCACGCUGUAAACGAUGUCAACUAGCCGUUGGGACUCUUGAAGUCUUAGUGGCGCAGCUAACGCACUAAGUUGACCGCCUGGGGAGUA
rnacentral:rRNA from 1 species